rfam:Octopus bimaculoides Scaffold76036_contig_15, whole genome shotgun sequence.
UAAACGGCCCUUUUAAGGGCCACAAUAUCAUCCUGUUCGUCUCAC